rnacentral:rRNA from 1 species
AGCUCCAAGAGCGUAUAUUAAAGUUGUUGCAGUUAAAAAGCUCGUAGUUGGAUUUCUGGUACAAUGCGCCUGGCCCGCCAAGGUUACUUGUGUGAGUGCCGGUGCGCGUUUGCCAUCCUUCUAGAGAACGUUUCUACCCUUCGCUGGGCCGGACUCGCGAUCUAGAUCUUUUACUUUGAAAAAUUAGAGUGUUUAAAGCAGGCUAUCGCUAUGAAUACAUUAGCAUGGAAUAAUAAUCUAGGACUUCGG